rnacentral:rRNA from 1 species
GAUGAACGCUGGCGGCGUGCCUAAUACAUGCAAGUCGAGCGAACAGAUGAGGAGCUUGCUCCUCUGACGUUAGCGGCGGACGGGUGAGUAACACGUGGAUAACCUACCUAUAAAACUGGGAUAACUUCGGGAAACCGGAGCUAAUACCGGGUAAUAUAUUGAACCGCAUGGUUCAAUAGUGAAAGACGGGUUUGCUGUCACUUAUAGAUGGAUCCGCGCCGCAUUAGCUAGUUGGUAAGGUAACGGCUUACCAAGGCAACGAUGCGUAGCCGACCUGAGAGGGUGAUCGGCCACACUGGAACUGAGACACGGUCCAGACUCCUACGGGAGGCAGCAGUAGGGAAUCUUCCGCAAUGGGCGAAAGCCUGACGGAGCAACGCCGCGUGAGUGAUGAAGGUCUUCGGAUCGUAAAACUCUGUUAUUAGGGAAGAACAAAUGUGUAAGUAACUAUGCACGUCUUGACGGUACCUAAUCAGAAAGCCACGGCUAACUACGUG